rnacentral:rRNA from 1 species
GACGAACGCUGGCGGCGUGCUUAACACAUGCAAGUCGAACGGAAAGGCCCUGCUUUUGUGGGGUGCUCGAGUGGCGAACGGGUGAGUAACACGUGAGUACCUGCCCUUGACUUUGGGAUAACUUCAGGAAACUGGGGCUAAUACCGGAUAGGAGCUCCUGCUGCAUGGUGGGGGUUGGAAAGUUUCGGCGGUUGGGGAUGGACUCGCGGCUUAUCAGCUUGUUGGUGGGGUAGUGGCUUACCAAGGCUUUGACGGGUAGCCGGCCUGAGAGGGUGACCGGCCACAUUGGGACUGAGAUACGGCACAGACUCCUACGGGAGGCAGCAGUGGGGAAUAUUGCACAAUGGGCGGAAGCCGGAUGCAGCAACGCCGCGUGCGGGAUGACGGCCUUCGGGUUGUAAACCGCUUUCGCCUGUGACGAAGCGUGAGUGACGGUAAUGGGUAAAGAAGCACCGGCUAACUACGUG